ACGAAAGCGUUUUUAAUGCCACGUCACUUCGUUAGUGUUCGAGCUGGYACAAACGCACAAUUGCCCGAUUCAGUAUUUCGAUUAGGUCAGAGGCUCAACCUAUUUUAAGUUGAUAAAAUUCGAACGCUUUAUAAUCGAAUAAAUUGUUCCAUUCAUCAGUCAAUCAAUAACUACAAGUGACAGAACGAUGUAUUUGGAGGGCAUUGAUUAAGUUAAAUUCCUAAUAGGGAAUGGGUUUUUAAACACGUGAAUACUUGGCCGCUUACCUUCCAAUUGGCACCUUAUUUCUCUCCACAACAGCUUACAGCAUGGAUGGAUGCGAGAUGAAAUUGUAUGUAUGACGUCGGUUUUUCGACGCUGUACACAAUUAUUAUUGUAACGAUGGGAGCCGAUCGACACACAAACUGACCAAUCACAAACAGAUUUCUGAUGACACUGACC